UUUCCUUAACACAAAUCUGCUGGAGCUGAACAUUUGCUGCUGCUUCCUUUAAACUUGACCUCAAUCACGAAGGUCUUCAUCAACUCACUCAGUGCUUUCACAUGUACUUAUACCCAGCACAUGCAUUGGCUAUGACCUUGCAGAAUUUGGCAUUAGCAACCUCAAAAACUCUGGAAAAGGCUUCAUUUUCUCCAGUCUCCUGGGAGAGGAGAGGCACCAUGAAGGCAGACCCAUCCAGAGAACACCUGCGACAGGCUGAGAAGCCAUUGGGAGACACACUUCUGAACACCACCACUGGAAAAUCACACAUGCUGAAAUGGGAGAGUUCCCUGACCCCCUUGCAGGAUAUGUGACAGGAGUGUGGCUCAUCUGUUCAGCUGGAGUGCAUACUCAAACCCCUUAUGAGACAAGGAGUAUGCAGACAGAAGGUGCAGGAACUGGGAAGCAAAAUAUAAACUAGUUAAUUUGAUCUCCAAGAGUUAAGCGGUUUUAAUAUUACUGACAGUAAUAUCAGCAGUGGUGUUGGAACCCCAUGAUCUCAUGAAUCAUAGAUAGCAACUGCUUACUGGACAUUGAAGCUUUAUGGCCAGCUGCCAAAAAAAUAAAUGCACCUUAAUUUUUAAAUUGAAUUAUAAAGCCAAAAAUAUCCUAUUGCUCUAUUCCUCUUAUUUUGGUGUUUACAUGUGACUUUAUAAUUUCCUUCACUUGAAAGAUUUUAACUUUAAAGGAAACUUUACUCUGAACGUUUAGGACAAUUCAUAGAUAAUCAAAUUGAUUAUCAUGUUUUCAAUGUUAAAUAUUACUUCAUAUGUCUUUUUACAACCUUCAGAAUAAGAAAGCCAGCUAUGAAAUACCAAGUCUUGACUAGUAGUGCCACCUAGCAUCACAAAGAAAAAGUUGUUCAACUACUUUGCAAAGCAUUGGAAAUUUAUCAAAUCAUCUAAUAUACUAUCUCCUUGAUCCUUAAUCCAGAGGAAAAUAAGCAGACAUGAUCAAUUAGAAGAAAUGUACACAAAACCUAUGUAAUUUUAGAGAUAGUAUACUACAUAUUAUGAAUGUUUGUGUUUUAGUAAGAUGUAGUUAUGAGAUGUAGCAGUAAGAUAUAAUUUCUGGUUUGCUGACUGAUAUGCUACCGGUUUUUCCUACAAUUUAAGAAAACAUAUUGGGAUUCAAAUGAAUAAAAAUAAUGUUUGUGUACUGAAAUAUUGGCUAUGACCUAAUUUAUAGAAUAAAAAGUAAGUCAUUCACAACUAUCAGUAUUUUGAAUAAUGUGGCAACCAACAACUGAUUGAGAUUUGUUAGUGUUUUGAGUAAUGAAUUUAGAAACUUUGGAAUAUAAUAUAAUGCUAACAAAGAUAUCACAGGCUCAAUCCUGGAUGGAACUGAGGACAGCUAUUCCAACCAUCUCAGUUAAGAUGCUUCUUAUUGGCGAUAAGUGAAUAAUAAGAGAGUAGAUGGCUCAUACCAGACCUAUUUCUCUCACAAUUCAAAUAGACUUAGCUGUGAGAUAGGGCAAGUCCUCAAAUAACACCAUUUCAUUCAAAGUCAUUUUAUGAUCACUUUGAUGAGAAGAAAAUCACUAAUUCUUGGUCAUGGCCACUGUCUGUGUGGAGUCUACAUGUUCUCUGCAUGUGUACAUGGGUUUUCUCUGGGUAGUUUGGUUUCCUUCCACAUCCCAAGGAAGUUCACAUGAGGUUCACUGGUGUGUCUAAAUGGUUCCAAUGUGAGUGAGUGUUGGGGUGUGUGUGGGUGCCCCCUGCAGUGAGAUAG
rnacentral:lncRNA from 10 species